ensembl:lincRNA Gm2762 predicted gene 2762
AGUCCAGGGAUCACAGUGCACAAAACCCGAGCAUACUUCUCUCUGAGCUCUCCGUGAUGUUGAAAAAGAAGCUUCUUCAAGGAUGACCAAAUGCUUACCCCGCCUUGUGCCCAGCUCAGUGCAGACAGAAGUCACUACACUGAACGAGAACUACAACCAGGAAGCAGUCUCCGCCCUGAGAAGCAGCCAUUAGUACACAGAGGGUAUGCUCACAUAAAAGAAGAAAAACUUUCCUUUGUGGGGAUAUAUUUUUACUGAAAAAUCUUUCUCGCCAACAUGCAUGAGAAGCAUUGGGUUGAUCAGAUGUGCCACCUUACUGAUUGAUGCCUGAUGGACAUAGUAAAGUUGACCCAGAA